rnacentral:lncRNA from 1 species
AGACCACCAUGGUGACUUGCAAGCAACUCACUGUACUUAGGCACUGGACUACCUGAAUUUCUAAUUCAGUGAUGGAAGGCUGCUAGGUGUAGUCAAGUACUUGACUUGUCGGUGCGUGUGUCAAGAUGGGAUUGACCACUCCAGUUCAGGAGCUGUGUACAGUCGUGUUUCAAUUUAGUAAAAUCUUGGCCAGGAUAGUCCUAGUGAGGAGUCACAGGACUGUUUGAGUUGAGCACGAUU